AUUGAACGCUGGCGCCAGGCCUAACACAUGCAAGUCGAACGAGUGGCGGACGGGUGAGUAAUGUCUGGGAAACUGCCUGAUGGAGGGGGAUAACUACUGGCAACGGUAGCUAAUACCGCAUACCAUCAGAUGUGCCCAGAUGGGAUUAGCUUGUUGGUGGGGUAACGGCUCACCAAGGCGACGAUCCCUCACUGGUCUGAGAGGAUGACCAGCCACACUGGAACUGAUACACGGUCCAGCCUCCUACGGGAGGCAGCAGUGGGGAAUAUUGCACAAUGGGCGCAAGCCUGAUGCAGCCAUGCCGCGUGUAUGAAGAAGGCCUGAGGGUUGUAAAGUACUUUCAGCGGGGAGGCGUUACCCGCAGAAGAAGCACCGGCUAAAUCCGUGCCAGCAGCCGCGGUAAUAC
rnacentral:rRNA from 1 species